AUUGCUUCUUGGCCUUUUGGCUAAGAUCAAGUGUAGUAUCUAUUCAUAUCAGUCUAAUAUCUGAUACAUCCUCUAUCUGAGGACAAUAUAUUAAAUGGAUUUUUAGAAGUAGGGUUGGAAUAGGAGCUUUCUCCAUCCACUCCAUGCAUUGACUUGGUAUUGCAGUACCUUCAGGAUUGGUGCAACCCCU